CCUGUAAUGACUUUGCCACCUGAUUUUCAAAGACAAAAUCAGAUGGGAGAUGACUUCAUCUACAGACUGAAAGUGAAGAAUCCCAGACGGAAAGUGAAGAAUCCCAGACUGAAAGAGAAGAAUACCAAUGUGAUCAGAUUUUCAUUUUUGAUGAAUUCCAAAACUAAUAUUGACAAUUUUUUUUUAAUAAAUUUCUUU